AUUUUUUAAAGUGCAAAAUAUAUACAUAUAUAUAUUGCAACUAAUUUUCAGUAUUGCCACCCAAAAACAGAAAUUAGGUCAUUUUCCCAUAAACUAUUUUCACAUACAAAUUAAUUUUAGCAAAACAAAAAACCUAAAUUCAAUUUAAGAAAAAAAAAUGUUAAAACAAGCAAUGCGAAUAUUUUCUUCAAUGGUCACGGCUAACAUGAAUUCAUUCUCAAUACUACAACGAUGAAUUCACCAGCUCUUGUAAUUGUUAAAACUGUAGUCGACUUAAGCUGCUGCAGACUUGUGAUUCAGAAUGUAAAGAAAGAACUGGGAACCCCAACAUGUAAAUGCUCCAUUAAUUGUGAAUUUGCUAUAUGUGCCAAUGCUCAACUCACAAGUUUUCUCAAUACUGCUUCAGCACGCUGCUCAAAUUUGGGCAGGGCCCAUUCAUGCUGAACUAUGUCUAGACUGUCUUUCUCAGCACUCAAGCUCUGACAACAAUCCAUAAACAGGAUUAGGGAUCAAAGACAAACGCAUCACCAUUCAAUCAAGAAGCAUCAGGGAUGUUAUAUAGGGUAAAAUUCUUCCAGGGCAAUUUUCAUCUUUGAGCCGUGUAUAUUAUGCUAAUAAAGAGGCAAGGUCAUUCACACAUGAACAAAAAUACUUAGAUUUGGUCUUGAAUACAAAACAGUCCAAAUUUUCCAUAAGACGAUAGCUAAGAUACAAAAUAUUUGGGGGACAGCAUCCUUUGAAGUCCCAUCAGAAAUAUUCUUGACAAGGCAGACAUCUGUCAUCAAAUUAUGCAUAAAUCAUGUCUAAAUCUAAGAAAAGUAUGACAUCCUUUCCGUAAAAGUUGGGUCUCAUUAUGGCAAGUUAAGAAGGUUUUCUAGGCAUGAUGAUAAAGCCCCACCUUUUGCAUGAUCUUGUGAACCUACUUUAAAGUAGCAUGACAGGUACUGCAUGGGAAAGAAGAGAAUGAGCAAUGCAUCACAGAGGCGGCCAGCCAAUGCAGCAAUGCCUUGAGGGUUGAAGCAGCAUCAAGCGAGAUAGAGAGGGUGAGGAAGAAAAUUCAAGUGCUGGGACCUUUGUUGGAUCGAAGCCAAACCCACUCAUUUGCAUCAUGCGUUGUGUGUCAUCCAUAGCAUUUUCUUCACCAAGAAUGAGACUAAAUAAACCCCUUAAUCCAAACAAAUUAAGGAAAUACCUGGAAAAAGAAAUUAGUAGAGUCAGAAAGAGUUAAUUCAGUUAACGGCCAAAAAUAUGAGGAAAAUACUUUUUUGACCAUUUGUUUCAAAAUAUAGAUUCUUGCUUAUAAACGUAGAGAAAUACCAUGAGCGACUACUGACAUAACUAACAUCAACAGUGCUCAAGUCAAUCCCAUUUUGCAACAUUGACCUGAACCUCUGAGUCAGAGGAAAGGGUAUCUUAGCUGGAAGGAACAAAAGAAGAUCAUUAAAAUGGUUGCAACAAGAUGCAAAAGAAGAACAUCAUCAAAGUGGGAAGACCAACAUGGUGAGUAAUUAAGAUUGACAAGCUAGCAUAGAGAAUGGGUGCUAAUCCAGAUAUUAACACAAUGACAAAGAAACAUACCUGCAACAAAUCCAGAGAAGAAAAAGUUGACCCAAGCAAAAGUAAGAGUCUAGCCAGCAGGAAAACGAUUACAAUUCACAAUUAUAAUAAUCUAUAUCAACAAUUAGACCAGAAAACAAUGUUAUGCUAUAUAAUUAUUAAUACCUGCGGUAUAAUCAUAGAAAGGUUUUUCUUCAUCAUAUCCAUGGCCAUAUUUGGAUCAGAGAACAUUUGUGCUUGUGCAUUUUGUGCCUGGCCUUUCGGAACAAAUAACAAUCCAUUUUCCUCGUUGCUGAAAUAAACCCUACGAGCACGAAAUGCCUUAGAAGGUAUAAAAUUAGCGCCAGAGCGCAAAUUCCGAGCCCUGACAAUUACUUGGCCUUCUUUGACGAUCUUGGCAUCGGGAACUUGAUACGAGCGCAUGAGCUUGGAGACGAAGUAGCGGAGUACGCCGAUAAGAACCAUAACUACGGAUAGAGGGAUCAGUACCCAGUCUCUUAUCGCCGUAUCCAGCACCAGAUCUUCUGCCAUGGCUGCAAAUUCUCGUCGUCUCCGUCAGAGUUCCCUCGCUCGUUUUGAUUAGGCCAAUGCAAAAAGACUUUGUGCCUGUUUCAC
rnacentral:misc_RNA from 1 species